rnacentral:tRNA from 1 species
GGAGAGAUGGCUCAGUGGUUAAGAGCACUGACCCCUUGCUCUUCCAGAGGUCCUGAGUUCAAUUCCAGUAACCACA